rnacentral:rRNA from 1 species
UACAGAGGGUGCGAGCGUUAAUCGGAAUUAUUGGGCGUAAAGAGCUCGUAGGCGGUUUGUUGCGUCGGCUGUGAAAUCCCGAGGCUCAACCUCGGGUCUGCAGUCGAUACGAGCAAACUAGAGUGUUGCAGGGGAGACUGGAAUUCCUGGUGUAGCGGUGAAAUGCGCAGAUAUCAGGAGGAACACCGGUGGCGAAGGCGGGUCUCUGGGCAACAACUGACGCUGAGGAGCGAAAGCGUGGGGAGCGAACAGG